CAGUAGCCGCGGUAAUACGAAGGGGGCUAGCGUUGUUCGGAAUUACUGGGCGUAAAGCGCACGUAGGCGGAUAUUUAAGUCAGGGGUGAAAAUCCCAGAGCUCAACUCUGGAACUGCCUUUGAUACUGGAUAUCUUGAGUAUGGAAGAGGUGAGUGGAAUUCCGAGUGUAGAGGUGAAAUUCGUAGAUAUUCGCAAGAACACCAGUGGCGAAGGCGGCUUACUGGCUCGAAACUGACGCUGAGGCGCGAAAGCGUGGGGAGCAAACAGGAUCAGAGACCCGAGUAGUCCCUGUCUCUUAUA
rnacentral:rRNA from 1 species